GAUGAACGCUGGCGGCGUGCCUAAUACAUGCGAGUCGAGCGAACGGACGAGAAGCUUGCUUCUCUGAUGUUAGCGGCGGACGGGUGAGUAACACGUGGAUAACCUACCUAUAAGACUGGGAUAACUUCGGGAAACCGGAGCUAAUACCGGAUGAUAUUUUGAACCGCAUGGUUCAAAAGUGAAAGACGGUCUUGCUGUCACUUAUAGAUGGAUCCGCGCUGCAUUAGCUAGUUGGUAAGGUAACGGCUUACCAAGGAAACGAUGCAUAGCCGACCUGAGAGGGUGAUCGGCCACACUGGAACUGAGACACGGUCCAGACUCCUACGGGAGGCAGCAGUAGGGAAUCUUCCGCAAUGGGCGAAAGCCUGACGGAGCAACGCCGCGUGAGUGAUGAAGGUCUUCGGAUCGUAAAACUCUGUUAUUAGGGAAGAGCAUAUGUGUAAGUAACUGUGCACAUCUUGACGGUACCUAAUCAGAAAGCCACGGCUAACUACGUG
rnacentral:rRNA from 1 species